GUCUACCGCUUGGCAUUAAAUCUCGGUGUGGUAGGAAACGAUUAUUACAUAUAGAUUAUAUUAUUUGGAUGAGGAUUUGAGCUAGCCUAUAAAAACACAUUAAUUAGUUAACAUACAUUCGAGACCAAAGGAUAUUAACUUUGAUAAUUCAAUUAACUUUUACUCACAUAUUUUUCUCUUAUGAUUUGUGCGUGCUUGUUUCUAUAGGACAGUGUAUAUAUGGUCCAAAAAUUAAUCAUAAAAUCAUAACUAAAAAUGUCUUGUUCGGAGAAUGAUAGUACUAACAGUGGUUCCAGUCCGUCAAGAGAGGCAGAUUUUGACGAGUAUGGUCAAUUUGGGUACGCACUAGAGCCAGAGUAUACCGAAGAAGAGCUCCAUGAAAUGGAAGCUGCAGAAAGUUCCCGAAAUCAAGAUAUCCUUAGCAACCCUCGCCAGUUUAACACAGAUUGGUGUUCGUGUACUAAAUGCAUAGUUAUGCCGUUAUUGACGGAAUGUCUUUGUUGCCACGAAUUUACUCUCUUUGAUGGUAAUAUUGAAUUGGGU
rnacentral:lncRNA from 1 species